GCUUCAUUAGCUCACUUGGAUAGAGCGAUCCCCUCCUAAGGGAUAGGUAGCAGGUUCGACUCCUGCAUGGAGCGCCA
rnacentral:tRNA from 1 species